UUAAAAAUAUUAGAAAUCGCAUGAUAUAAUUUGGUGUAGAUGUAAACUUAAUUCCAAAUAGAAGUAGACCUUAGAGGUUUAAAUGAUAUUAAUCCUUAAUUUACCUUUUGACGAACAACUUGGAAAUCAAUCAUUUCAGCAGAAACCCUUUCAUUUCCUUCCUAUUUACUCACUUUCUUUUCUCUUUUUGUUGAAGCUAUAUGCUUUAACAACCUUCGAAAUCCAACCAAAACAGAUUGAUGGAUUUGACAAAAAACUGAGAAACAAAAUUCUAUUGGAUAAAAAAAACAAAAUAAGAGAAACACUAAUAUUUCUUAAUCAAACAGGGAGAAAUUUGAAGGUAGCUAAAAUUUAGAAGGCCCUAUAUCAAUCUAAGAAGGUGAGGAUAGGGUGGUUGCUUUCUAUACUAAAUCAAGAACGCCAAAUCCCAGUUAUAUGGAAUUCCAUAUACAUACAUCCAAGUUGAGUUACUGAAAUUAUUAUUUCUUCUCUUUUCUGGGAAAAAAAAGGACAAGCCCUUUGGUAUAAAGUGAACGAAGACAUAAAAAAAAAAAAAAAAUUAAAAAAGAAAGAAAGAAAGAAAAGGAAAAAGACAAUAUGAAAUUAAUCUUUCUCUGAAAUUUGGAACAAAAUAAUGGAAUGAGUAUAUAUGUGUUUAAGAGUGUCCUGCGACGCAAGACACAGAGGACCUUCUCUGCAUCUGCAUCUACCUCUGCCUCUAACGGAGUCGGAAUUACCAUUGGAGAAAAUCAAGUAUCUCAACCCUUACCUGAAACUGUUGACGAGCACGAAGAGAUGGGUAUGGUGAAGAAGAGGAAGAAGAACGAGACCCAGAAGAGGAAAUUGAAGAGACUGAUCAACAACCCAGAUCUGCCUCAGUCAGAGUCGUUACCCGGCCCAGUUCUUCAUCUAACUCCAAUGGAUUAUCUUCAGCUGGUAACCAGGACGCCUCCAUUUCCAUAACCUUGACCGACCCAGAUGUCCUUCAUUGCUCUAUUUGAUAUGAACCAUUGACGAUUCCCGUCUUCCAGAUGAGAAAACUGCUUAUCUAGUUUGUCCAAUGCAAAUAUUAUCUGCGUGGCAUCGAUCUCUCCUAGCUACCCAACUCAGUGACCAAGUCAAAAAUCAAAUCUCUACAUCCAAAACAAUACCAGUUGCACCGAACCUUGCGGUUGUGUAUAUUUACUUUAUAUAUAUGUACUACAACAAGAACAACAUUUAACAUGUUAUUAAUGUGGUUAAACGCUUUUAACAAGUUAUAAAAAUUAUUGUUUUAAA